GGACUGUAGCUCAAUGGUAAAGUGCUUGCCUCGCAUGUGUGAGGCAUUGGGUUCGAUCCUCAGCACCA
rnacentral:tRNA from 1 species